rnacentral:rRNA from 1 species
GACGAACGCUGGCGGCGUGCUUAACACAUGCAAGUCGAGCGAGCAGAUUCCCUUCGGGGAUGAAGCUAGCGGCGGACGGGUGAGUAACACGUGGGCAACCUGCCUUAUAGAGGGGGAUAGACUUCCGAAAGGAAGAUUAAUACCGCAUAACAUCAGAUUAUCGCAUGGUAGACUGAUCAAAGGAGCAAUCCGCCAUAAGAUGGGCCCGCGUCGCAUUAGCUCGUUGGGGAGGUAACGGCUCACCAAGGCGACGAUGCGUAGCCGACCUGAGAGGGUGAUCGGCCACAUUGGGAAUGAGACACGGCCCAGACUCCUACGGGAGGCAGCAGUGGGGAAUAUUGCACAAUGGGGGAAACCCUGAUGCAGCAACGCCGCGUGAGUGAUGAAGGCCUUCGGGUUGUAAAGCUCUUUCAGCAGGGACGAAGCGAAAGUCACGGUACCUGCAGAAGAAGGACCGGCCAACUACGUGCCAGCCGCCGCCGUAACAC